rnacentral:tRNA from 3 species
CCUUCGAUAGCUCAGUUGGUAGAGCGGAGGACUGUAGAUCCUUAGGUCGCUGGUUCGAAUCCGGCUCGGAGGA